ACGAACGCUGGCGGCGCGCUUAAUACAUGCAAGUCGAGCGAGAACCAAGGCUUCGGCCUUGGGGACAGCGGCGAACGGGUGAGUAACACGUGGGUAAUCAACCCCCGACACCGGGAUAGCCCAGGGAAACUUGGAUUAAUACCGGAUGCCCCAUCUGGCUUUCGAGCCGGCUGGAAAAGGGUAGCUUCGGCCUCUGGUCGGGGACGAGCCCGCGGCGGAUUAGCUUGUUGGUGAGGUAACGGCUCACCAAGGCGACGAUCCGUAGCUGGUCUGAGAGGACGAUCAGCCACACUGGGACUGAGACACGGCCCAGACUCCUACGGGAGGCAGCAGUAGGGAAUCUUGCGCAACGGGCGAAAGCCUGACGCAGCGACGCCGCGUGAGGGAAGAAGGCCUUCGGGUUGUAAACCUCUUCAGGAGGGACGAAGCCACUCGGGUUAAUAGCCUAGAGGGUGACGGUACCUCCAGAAGAAGCCCCGGCUAACUACGUGCCAGCAGCCGCGGUAAAUACGUAGGGGGCAAGCGUUGUCCGGAUUUAUUGGGCGUAAAGAGCGUGUAGGCGGCCAUACAGGUCAGCUGUGAAAACUCGAGGCUCAACCUCGAGACGUCGGUUGAAACCGUAUGGCUAGAGUCCGGAAGAGGAGAGUGGAAUUCCCGGUGUAGCGGUGAAAUGCGCAGAUAUCGGGAAGAACACCCGUGGCGAAGGCGGCUCUCUGGGACGGUACUGACGCUGAGACGCGAAAGCGUGGGGAGCGAACAGGAUUAGAUACCCUGGUAGUCCCACGCCGUAAACGAUGGGUACUAGGUGUGGCGGGUGUCGACUCCCGCUGUGCCGAAGCUAACGCAUUAAGUACCCCGCCUGGGGAGUACGGCCGCAAGGCUAAAACUCAAAGGAAUUGACGGGGGCCGCACAAGCAGCGGAGCGUGUGGUUUAAUUCGAGGCUACACGAAGAACCUUACCCAGGCUUUGACAUGCUGGUGGUAGGGAAGUGAAAGCGGACCGACCGCAAGGAGCCAGCACAGGUGCUGCAUGGCUGUCGUCAGCUCGUGUCGUGAGAUGUUCGGUUAAGUCCGAAAACGAGCGCAACCCCCGGGUCUAGUUACACGUGUCUAGACCGACUGCCCGUGAGAAACGGGAGGAAGGUGGGGAUGACGUCAAGUCAACAUGGCCUUUAUGCCUGGGGCAACACACACGCUACAAUGGGCGGUACAAUAGGUCGCGAAGUCGCGAGAUGGAGCCAAUCUAGGAAAGCCGUUCACAGUUCGGAUUGCAGGCUGCAACUCGCCUGCAUGAAGCUGGAGUUGCUAGUAACCGCGCGUCAGCCAUAGUGCGGUGAAUACGUUCCCGGGCCUUGUACACACCGCCCGUCACAUCACGAAAGUGAACCAUACUAGAAGCAGGUGGGCCAACCGCAAGGGGGCAGCCUUCCAAGGUAUAGUUCAUGAUUGUGGUG
rnacentral:rRNA from 1 species